rnacentral:rRNA from 1 species
GAUGAACGCUGGCGGCGUGCCUAAUACAUGCAAGUCGAGCGAACAGACGAGGAGCUUGCGCCUCUGAUGUUAGCGGCGGACGGGUGAGUAACACGUGGAUAACCUACCUAUAAGACUGGGAUAACUUCGGGAAACCGGAGCUAAUACCGGAUAACAUGUUGAACCGCAUGGUUCAACAGUGAAAGACGGUCUUGCUGUCACUUAUAGAUGGAUCCGCGCCGCAUUAGCUAGUUGGCAAGGUAACGGCAUACCAAGGCAACGAUGCGUAACCGACCUGAGAGCGUGAUCGGCCACACUGGAUGUGAGACACGGCCCAGACACCGAGGGGAGGCAGCAGUCGGGAAUCUUCCGCAAUGGGCGAGAGCCUGACAGAGCAACGCCGCGUGAGUGAAGAAGGUCUUCUGAUCGUAAAACUCUGUUAUUAGGGAAGAACAAAUGUUUAAGUAACUAUGCACGUAUUGACGGUACCUAAUCAGAAAGCCACGGCUAACUACGUG